GCCGGGCUAGCUCAAUCGGUAGAGCGUGAGACUCUUAUUCCUCACGGCAUCUCAAGGUUGCGGGUUCGACCCCCGCGUUCGGCU
rnacentral:tRNA from 1 species